rnacentral:SRP_RNA from 1 species
GCCAGGCAUGGUGGCACAUGUCUGUUAUCUCAGCCACUUGAGAGACUGAGGCAGGAAGAUCACUCGAGCCCAGGAAUUUUGGGCUGUAGUGUGCUAUGUGGGGUGCCCAUGCUAAGUCUGGCAUCAGUAUGAUUUCCUGGAAGUGGGGGACCCCUGAUUGUCUCAGGAGGGGUGUGAACUGGCCCAGGCCAGAAAUGGAGCAGUUCAAAACUCCCAUGCUGAAGUGGGAUCGUGUCUGUGAAUAGUCAGGGGACUUCUGCCUGGGCAACAUAGCAAGACCCCAUCUCU